GUCACCGGACCCGGUAUCAUUUAGGAGAGCGGCCUUUGGAGCCUUCUUUGGGCGUGCUUACAUAUAUUGUACAGAGCGGGGUGACCUAGAGAAUGAGCUUGGGCACAUUUACCAAAUUGGGAGGCGGCGCGGCUACGGAAUGGGGUUCGUGACCUCUAUCCGGGGCGGGGUGCGGCGGGCCCUGGAGCGGGAGGCCCAAGGCGGCCAUGAUGAGAGGACGAGCCAGGAGUGUUUGCCGCUCCCGCAUGGAUUGGCUGAACUGGAUUCGGUGGGGAGAGUUGUUGGGAGGACGGGGAGGAGAACUGGGCAGUGCCGGUCCGUAGCGAUUUUCAAUAAAAUUGGAG
rnacentral:lncRNA from 1 species